rnacentral:misc_RNA from 1 species
GAUGAAGAACGUAGCGAAAUGCAAUAAGUAAUGUGAAUUGCAGAAUUCAGUGAAUCAUCGAAUCUUUGAACGCACAUUGCGCCCGCCAGUAUUCUGGCGGGCAUGCCUGUCCGAGCGUCAUUUCAACCCUCGGGCCCCCCUCUGCGGGCGGCCCGGCGUUGGGGCUCAGGCGCCGUCUCUGCUCGGCGCCUGUCCCCUAAAUGCAGUGGCGGCCUCGCCGCUGCCUCCUCCGCGUAGUAGCACAAACCUCGCGGCUGGAAGGCGGCGCGGCCACGCCGUAAAACCCCCCAACUUUACCAAGGUUGACCUCGGAUCAGGUAGGAAUACCCGCUGAACUUAAGCAUAUCAAUAAGCGGAGGA